GCCUCUGUGGAUCAGUGUAGAUCACCUCAAUAUCUUGCUGCUUUGAAGAUUAAUGAGGAGACGUGGGUUCGAAUCCCACCGCAGGCA